rnacentral:rRNA from 1 species
UGGGGAAUAUUGGACAAUGGGCGCAAGCCUGAUCCAGCCAUGCCGCGUGAGUGAUGAAGGCCCUAGGGUUGUAAAGCUCUUUCAGCGAGGAGGAUAAUGACGUUACUCGCAGAAGAAGCCCCGGCUAACUUCGUGCCAGCAGCCGCGGUAAUACGAAGGGGGCUAGCGUUGUUCGGAAUCACUGGGCGUAAAGCGCACGUAGGCGGACUUUUAAGUCAGGGGUGAAAUCCCGGGGCUCAACCUCGGAACUGCCUUUGAUAUUGGAAGUCUGGAGUCCGAGAGAGGUGAGUGGAACUCCGAGUGUAGAGGUGAAAUUCGUAGAUAUUCGGAAGAACACCAGUGGCGAAGGCGGCUCACUGGCUCGGUACUGACGCUGAGGUGCGAAAGCGUGGGGAGCAAAACAGGAUUAGAUACCCUGGUAGUCCACGCCGUAAAACGAUGGAAGCUAGCCGUCAGGGUGCAUGCAUCUUGGUGGCGCAGUUAACGCAUUAAGCUUCCCGCCUGGGGAGUACGGUCGCAAGAUUAAAAACUCAAAUGAAUUGACGGGGUCAUAGCUGUUUCCU